rnacentral:rRNA from 1 species
AGUGAACGCUGGCGGCAGGCCUAACACAUGCAAGUCGAGCGGCAGCGGGUCCUUCGGGAUGCCGGCGAGCGGCGGACGGGUGAGGAAUACAUCGGAAUCUGCCCUGUCGUGGGGGAUAACCUAGGGAAACUUAGGCUAAUACCGCAUACGACCUACGGGUGAAAGCGGGGGAUCGCAAGACCUCGCGCGAUAGGAUGAGCCGAUGUCCGAUUAGCUAGUUGGCGGGGUAAAGGCCCACCAAGGCGACGAUCGGUAGCUGGUCUGAGAGGAUGAUCAGCCACACUGGGACUGAGACACGGCCCAGACUCCUACGGGAGGCAGCAGUGGGGAAUAUUGGACAAUGGGCGCAAGCCUGAUCCAGCCAUGCCGCGUGGGUGAAGAAGGGCCUUCGGGGUUGUAAGAGCCCUUUUGUUCCGGGAAGGGAAUUCGUCUGGGCUAAUUUU